CUGGGGAACCCUGGGAGUUGGAAGUCCACAAGGCUUAAAGGAGCCGACGUUGGAGACCCCUGCUUUAGCGAGAGCGAAUUUAAAUGUCUCUAGCGGACAGUUUGGAUUCGAAUACCCCAUCCAAGUAGAGGGUGACCAUCUUGAUAGGACAGAAGGCAAAAACAAAUGAGGGCAAUCAAUCAUGGUUUAUUCUAUCCAUGAGCUUCUGCCAACGGGGUUUAGACUUAGAUUUGUAAAGCCCCUCUGAAGCAGGGCAACCUGUUUUCACAUCCUUCGCGUGCCUGUCACGGUACUGUUGGGUUGGGUUUUCCUUUUCCCUGAGAAAUGUCCGCUUGGCCAAAGCGUUUAAAACAAAUAAAAACCAGUAAUCCGUGAGAUCCGGCAGCCAUCAGAUCUCCAGCUUUGUUCGCUGAAGCAUUGCUAAGUGCUCUAAGUAUGGUGUGCAGAAAACGAGGGCCGGUUGGACGCUUUUUCUGGAGGACUUUUUGUACAGCUGCUGCCCAACAACAUCAGGGAAAAACAGUCCUAGGAACAGAGGAAAACGGGUGUGCCUGGCCUUGAAGCCGAUCUCCUUGUCAAGAGGGCACAGAGGAUAUUUAUUCAUCUUCGGAAAUUAAGUAUGUUGCUAUGCCCACAAUCAAGAUAGUGUAACUAUUUAGCAAUAAAACAGAAAUCAGCCAGGGAAAAAUCUUAUCUGAGAAAUCUGAGUUGGGAACAAACAACGUCCUGAUUGGCUGCAGCAAAACGUGCAGCUCCUGGGAGCGAUGCUUACUUUCUGUUGCAAAUAUGCAAGUCUAUUUCUUCGUUGCUACUCGGCAUGCUUGGAUGAGCCCAUAAAGGCAGAAUUCAGGUUGGAUGCGCCCAGUUUAGGAUGUAAGACUGUUGAGUCUCCCUUGAUUAAAUAAUGUUAAUUUUUCAAAAGGCGCUGGAAAAGAAAGAGACAAACCAUGCUGGAACAUUUUUUAAGGACAAGAAUAAGCCAUUCUUAAAUUUGGGUUUAAAGCAUGCCAAAAGAGUUUGGCUAUGUUUGCAGGCCCAAAGACUGGCAAAACAGUGAGAUUUUAAACUGGGGCCGGGACGGGACACACAGGUGAAUCCAGCAAGAGCUGAUGGUGCAAAGGAAGAGGAUUCAAUACUUAUCACGCCACUCAAAGAUUUAAAUAAAAGAUUUAUUGGUGACCUUGAUGAACCCAAAAGUAGCUGUGUAUGUUUCAUCUUUAUUUUUGAUCCUCUGGUUUU